AAGCGUUGUCCGGAAUCAUUGGGCGUAAAGCGCUCGUAGGCGGACUUUUAAGUCGGCGAAGAAAGACCUGGGCUCAACUCAGGGAACGGCGUCGAUACCAUUGGUCUUGAGGUAAUUAGAGGAUGAUGGGAUUCCCGGUGUAGCGGUGAAAUGCGUAGAUAUCGGGAGGAACACCAGUGGCGAAGGCGAUCAUCUGGGAUUAACCUGACGCUGAGGAGCGAAAGCCAGGGGAGCAAACGGG
rnacentral:rRNA from 1 species